GUUUUUAAAGGACUAAUAUCAAGUGUUAUGGUGAAGCUACAGUUAAGUCCAGUUUCUGACCCGUUCGUUAAGAAGUGUGAAGUGCAGCUAUGAAGUUGAUCGUAUUUCUCCCGUUUGCUAACAGCAAGCAAUGAGAUUCUGAAUUCUAAUGGGUCAGAGCUGCGUGUUCAGGUUCUGACUUUGGAAAGGGAGGUUACUGGAGCUCCUGGAUCUGCAGAGUGAUAAAAAAGGCUUUAAUCUUCCAUCAGAGAGUCGUUUCUCAAAUGCCACAAGGAACGGAGCGGUGAUAACAGACGUGAUGCACAAGCUGCCUUUUUAUGCUGCAUAGAAAAUUACAAAGAGAAGUUCCGGCAUCAAACAGCUUCGAUGUGUGACAAAUGUAUGUUUGCAAUCCAGUGGCACGGCACUCCAUAAAAACGACGGCGUUGCUUCUGGAACAGCAGGAAACGUUGAGGAGGAGCUUCUUGAAUAACCUGGACCACAAACUUUAGCAGUUUUAGUGACUCAUCGGAUUAUUUGGCUUAGCAAACCAUGACGAUAAAGGUUUCAGUGACAGGAAAUAAGACAGCGUAUCCUCUGGGUUGUGACAAACUGCAUAUGGAACAUGUCAGGAACAACAUGCCCUCCCGCUGUAUUCACAUCAACUCCCAGAACCGUUUCUGACACACUGUAUUAGCAUCUCUAGGUUGUAUGUAUGGAAAAUGUACAGCAUGCAGGUUUGGAUGACAUUUAUUUUGAUUCCUUUCUCAAAUGAAU